UCUGAAAUUCUGAUGAUGAAAUCUCAAUUCAAAAGUCUCAUUUGUUUGCUUCAGGGAAAUAAAGCUUCACUCUUUUUAGGCAAAAAAAGUUCAGUUAAGGUCAUGUACUUUAGUGAAAUAUAGUUUUAGGGUUAUAUGAGUAUUUAAAUGACACAGAUAAAAGAUUUAUUGACUAUCAUUUGAAAAACACAAAUGUGACUACUUCUGCCUUUUUAUGUAAAUGCGGUGCAAACAAAAAUACUGUCAUGGCAAGCAAGACGAGGCAGACCCAGGCGCUGGAACCCGGAAGGAAAACACAAGGUGAGUAAGUUGGUUAGUCAAGUUUUAAUGACAUUUGGAGUUGCUUGAGAUCUUGAUGUGGCUGGAGGCUGGAGAGCAGCGGGUGAAGUUGCUGGAAGUAGCUUGGGCUUGAGGCGAGGCUGGUGGUCGGAUUUGGCUCGUGGCGAGGCUGGAGGUCAGUGAUGGCUCGAGGCGAGGCUGGAGGUUCUUGGUGUUCCGAGAGGUUCUGUGGUUCAGGUAAUCCGGUGACUCAGGUGUCCACUCGUGGUCAGAAUGUCCUGAAGGCAAGGCAAUGCAAGUUAGCCAUGAACAUGAACACUUGGACUAAACUAGACGAGAGACCAGGUUAGGCACCAUCAGGGGCAACGAACUGGCAAUGAAUGCUGGUUCUGGAUCUCCUUAAGUAGGCCUGGUCGGUCAUUAGGUGAGUGUACACAGCUGGGAAUCAUCAGGAGCCAAGCAGAGAGGGGAUGGGGAGGAAGACUGUCAGAGGCACCAUGACAAAUACGUCCAAUCACAAGCUAGCUUCUAACGAGUUGAGUCAAUCUAAAUUGGCUGAAGGUGAACUACAACAAGAGAUGUGUUCUAUGUGCACUAAACAUAACCUUUUUUCACAGCCCUUCAAACAACACCUGAAUAAAUUAAUACAACACAGUUUUUAUCCACAAAGAACAAAAUUGUCUAAAUACCCAAAAUGGCAGGUUUUUAUGUAUGAAGCUGUUGUCAGACACUUUAUUUUUGUUGCUUGAAUUAAAAUGUUCUAAACAGAAAUAGAAAAAAAGUUUCUCUGUUGAAGGGCAUUUUCAUUUAUAAUCUUAAAUACCAAAUGAAAAAUAUGAAUCCAGAUUGGAUCCAUUUAGGUAAAAGUAUUGGACAGGAUCAUAACACUUAACGUUAGAUGAAUUUUUGAUGUUUCGAUUUGUGGAUCAUGUAUCAAAAUGCCCACCGAAUCAUGUGAGAAGAAAAGUUACUCAACCAUGAUAUUGUAAGACCAAAUGCGGCUUCAAAUCCAUCUAUAGUUACCCAAAAUAAUAUCAAAAUAUAAAAUAAAAUACUUAAGGAUGCAUUUACCCUAUUUUCAAGGAGGAUCCCUGGAUUAUUAGGCACACCGUCAACAAAUGGUCUGUUUUUGAACUAAACGCUACACAUUAGUUUCAUUAUUAUGUUAACAUUGAAACCGAAAUUUGUAGUGAAUUCAUUGCAUCUUCGGUCAGUCCACCCUCCCCAUGAAUCCUGUUGGAGUGGUUUGUCCUGUCGCUCCCGUGUCAAGUAGUUCGUCCUGCUCUCUUCGCUCAUCCAACACUUAAACGAUCAAACCUCAUGCCCUCUCCUUCCUAACGGAGUCAUGGUAAAAUACAUGUUUUGUGUCAUGAAAGAUGCUAUGUUUUUGAACCUCCACAAUUAAACUUUCGUUGUCUGU